rnacentral:rRNA from 1 species
UACGUAGGCAGCAAGCGUUGUUCGGAGUUACUGGGCGUAAAGGGUGUGUAGGCGGCUGUUUAAGUUUGGUGUGAAAUCUCCCGGCUCAACUGGGAGGGUGCGCCGAAUACUGAAUGACUUGGAGUGCGGGAGAGGAAAGUGGAAUUCCUGGUGUAGCGGUGAAAUGCGUAGAUAUCAGGAGGAACACCGGUGGUGUAGACGGCUUUCUGGACCGUAACUGACGCUGAGACACGAAAGCGUGGGUGGCAAACAGG